GACGAACGCUGGCGGCGUGCUUAACACAUGCAAGUCGAACGGAAAGGCCCUGCUUUUGUGGGGUGCUCGAGUGGCGAACGGGUGAGUAACACGUGAGUAACCUGCCCUUGACUUUGGGAUAACUUCAGGAAACUGGGGCUAAUACCGGAUAGGAGCUCCUGCUGCAUGGUGGGGGUUGGAAAGUUUCGGCGGUUGGGGAUGGACUCGCGGCUUAUCAGCUUGUUGGUGGGGUAGUGGCUUACCAAGGCUUUGACGGGUAGCCGGCCUGAGAGGGUGACCGGCCACAUUGGAACUGAGAUACGGCCCAGACUCCUACGGGAGGCAGCAGUGGGGAAUAUUGCACAAUGGGCGGAAGCCUGAUGCAGCGACGCCGCGUGCGGGAUGACGGCCUUCGGGUUGUAAACCGCUUUCGCCUGUGACGAAGCGUGAGUGACGGUAAUGGGUAAAGAAGCACCGGCUAACUACGUG
rnacentral:rRNA from 1 species